rnacentral:rRNA from 1 species
AUUGAACGCUGGCGGCAUGCCUUACACAUGCAAGUCGAACGGCAGCACGGGGGCAACCCUGGUGGCGAGUGGCGAACGGGUGAGUAACAUAUCGGAACAUACCCUAGAGUGGGGGAUAACGUAGCGAAAGUUACGCUAAUACCGCAUACGAUCUAAGGAUGAAAGUGGGGGAUCUUCGGACCUCAUGCUCAUGGAGUGGCCGAUAUCUGAUUAGCUAGUUGGUGAGGUAAAGGCUCACCAAGGCGACGAUCAGUAGCUGGUUUGAGAGAACGACCAGCCACACUGGAACUGAGACACGGCCCAGACUCCUACGGAGGCAGCAGUGGGGAAUAUUGGGACAAUGGGCGAAAGCCUGAUCCAGCAAUGCCGCGUGAGUGAUGAAGGCCUUAGGGUUGUAAAGCUCUUUUACCCGGGAUGAUAAUGACAGUACCGGAGAAUAAGCCCCGGCUAACUCCGUGCCAGCAGCCGCGGU